rnacentral:rRNA from 1 species
GUGGGGAAUUUUGGACAAUGGGCGCAAGCCUGAUCCAGCAAUGCCGCGUGCAGGAAGAAGGCCUUCGGGUUGUAAACUGCUUUUGUACGGAACGAAACGGUCCGGGUUAAUACCCUGGGCUAAUGACGGUACCGUAAGAAUAAGCACCGGCUAACUACGUGCCAGCAGCCGCGGUAAUACGUAGGGUGCAAGCGUUAAUCGGAAUUACUGGGCAUAAAGCGUGCGCAGGCGGUUUUGUAAGACAGGCGUGAAAUCCCCGGGCUCAACCUGGGAAUUGCGCUUGUGACGGCAAGGCUGGAGUGCGGCAGAGGGGGAUGGAAUUCCGCGUGUAGCAGUGAAAUGCGUAGAGAUGUGGAGGAACACCGAUGGCGAAGGCAGCCCCCUGGGCCAAUACUGACGCUCAUGCACGAAAGCGUGGGGAGCAAACAGGAUUAGAUACCCCGGUAGUCC